CCACGGUGUGCAAUUACUUUAAUUCUAGCCAUUCAAUUGAUCUAAUGCUCAAAAGUUGGACAGCUCAUUUGGACAUGUCCGUGUGACUCUCAUUUCUCUUUGCUCUUUCAGUUUCUCCUCUCUCUUGUUCACGCUUACCCUAUUUAAAAAAUUCAAAAACUCUCUCUUCCAGCCAAACAUGCCUUAAAAUAAGCCACCAGUGAUGCUCUGGUUACUUCUCCACCGAAGUGCACCAACAGUAUUUCAUCUACCCACCCAAAAAUAAAUAUGCUUGGAUCUGUGGCAGCGAAUAUUUCCAAGGCAUUCUCUCAUGUGCAGCUAAUGGUGUUUGACCUCCCACGUAUUGAUAUUGUUGCUAGCCUACCCGAGAGUAAGAGAAUGAACUAUGUUGUAGGUGAUAUGCUUGUGUCUAUCCCUUUUGUUGAUGCCAUUCUAAUUAAGGUGUGCAAUUUUAUUCCUUUCUCAUAAUCAUUCCUUUUAUUUUAGAUUGUAGUGGUUUCUCUUUGCACUACUUAUAUUGGCCAUUGAUGUAGUUGGGUUGUAAGUAGGGUUUCAUGGAGCUCUAUUGAUAAAUUGAAUCACGCCGGUGAUUUAGGUGUGCGUGCAAAAGAAGACUCCUCAAAACAAUUUGGAAACCAACUUUGACAUAUCAACUCCUAUUGAGAAAAUGAAGAUACAAGUCCAAAGUACAAAAUGCAGAAGAAGGCUAAGUGAGACUGAAGAAGAAACGAGGUUGUUUUGUGUAAAUAAGGAGCUGAUGACACUUAUUGACACAACACCAUUUUGCAAUCUCUUUAGCAAUUGUUUUAGUAAAAUGCUGCCGUAUCACUUAGAUAGCUUAGUUCCAAUUUCUAUUAUGAAUUAAGUCCCAUGUGUUAGCUAAUUAGCUUGUAAUUAGUGAUUAGAUUAAAACAGUUUUCCUGCUUAAUCAGGGAAGUUAGUUUUGCUUCAUUCUUUUCCAAAUUUUGUAUAUAAGGGAUUAGAUAUUUUCUAUCUAUUCUCAAUUGCUUGUAAUCACCUUUAAUCGUCAAUAAGAAAAUUGAGUUCUAUUUA